rnacentral:rRNA from 1 species
AACGAACGCUGGCGGCAUGCCUAACACAUGCAAGUCGAACGAUGCCUUCGGGCAUAGUGGCGCACGGGUGCGUAACGCGUGGGAAUCUGCCCUUGGGUUCGGAAUAACUCAGAGAAAUUUGAGCUAAUACCGGAUGAUGACGUAAGUCCAAAGAUUUAUCGCCCAAGGAUGAGCCCGCGUAAGAUUAGCUAGUUGGUGGGGUAAAGGCCUACCAAGGCGACGAUCUUUAGCUGGUCUGAGAGGAUGAUCAGCCACACUGGGACUGAGACACGGCCCAGACUCCUACGGGAGGCAGCAGUGGGGAAUAUUGGACAAUGGGCGAAAGCCUGAUCCAGCAAUGCCGCGUGAGUGAUGAAGGCCUUAGGGUUGUAAAGCUCUUUUACCAGGGAUGAUAAUGACAGUACCUGGAGAAUAAGCUCCGGCUAACUCCGUGCCAGCAGCCGCGGUAAU